UGUCCCUACAAAUGCCAUAACAAGUCCGGCAUCUCUCAUUUGCUGUUAUUGAUAUGUAUGCAAAGCUUGUGGUUUUAGUUAUUAAGGUAGUGAUCAUUUUUUUUUCUUUUGACUGAGUUUCAUGCAAUGAAUGGAAACUAAAUUGAUGAAUGUUUCCUUCAUAGUUUGGGUAUCUAUGAAUAGUAUCAGGAGCAAUGGGAUGAUCUGUUGCAACCCCAUGUGUUGUGGGUUUGUUGUAUAUGAAGUUUGAUCAAUAAUGGUAACUCCCUCUCCUUUUUGUUGCAUUGUAAAAAGAAAUGCAUUUGCUUGGUUUGCUGGUUGCAGGUGGUUUAGCUAAAAAUCAUAUCUACUUUGCAAACCAUGUCGAGAUUUUUGGAGGUAAGCAGGCACGGCCAUUGUGGAUGGGGCAUCCUGUAAUUGACAACCCAUGCACAUUACGAUACUAGCCAUGUAUAUAACAUGUUCCCCCAUUUUAACAAUGGAAAUGUGGAAUUUAUUGCUGGAAUUUUUUGUUUGAUUCAAAUCAAACUCCUUCCAUCUCAUGACUUAGUUGGGAUUCUUGUACAGAUGGUGGAAUAUAUACGUGUCUUUUAAUGGA